rnacentral:rRNA from 1 species
CAACUCGACUACAUGAAGCUGGAAUCGCUAGUAAUCGCAGAUCAGAAUGCUGCGGUGAAUACGUUCCCGGGUCUUGUACACACCGCCCGUCACACCAUGGGAGUCGGAAAUGCCCGAAGCCGGUGACCCAACCAAAAGGAGGGAGCCGUCGAAGGCAGGUCUGAUAACUGGGGUGAAGUCGUAACAAGGUACC